rnacentral:misc_RNA from 1 species
GAUGAAGAACGCAGCGAAGUGCGAUAAGUAGUGUGAAUUGCAGAAUUCAGUGAAUCAUCGAAUCUUUGAACGCACAUUGCGCCCUUUGGUAUUCCUUAGGGCAUGCCUGUUCGAGCGUCAUUUAAACCUUCAAGCUAAGCUUGGUGUUGGGUGACUGUCCGCUUCACGGCGGACUCGCCUCAAAAUUAUUGGCGGCCGGUACAUUGGCUUCGAGCGCAGCAGAAACGCGAACUCGGGCCCGUCGUAUUGGCUCCCAGAAGCUAUCUUCACAAUUUUGACCUCGGAUCAGGUAGGGAUACCCGCUGAACUUAAGCAUAUCAAUAAGCGGAGGA